rnacentral:rRNA from 1 species
UACGGAGGGGGCUAGCGUUGUUCGGAAUUACUGGGCGUAAAGCGCACGUAGGCGGCGAUUUAAGUCAGAGGUGAAAGCCCGGGGCUCAACCCCGGAAUAGCCUUUGAGACUGGAUUGCUAGAAUCUUGGAGAGGCGAGUGGAAUUCCGAGUGUAGAGGUGAAAGUUCGUAGAUAUUCGGAAGAACACCAGUGGCGAAGGCGACUUACUGGACACAUAUUGACGCUGAGGUGCGAAAGCGUGGGAGCAAACAGG